AACGAACGCUGGCGGCAUGCCUUACACAUGCAAGUCGAACGGUAACAGGUCUUCGGAUGCUGACGAGUGGCGAACGGGUGAGUAAUACAUCGGAACGUGCCUAGUAGUGGGGGAUAACUACUCGAAAGAGUGGCUAUUACCGCAUGAGAUCUACGGAUGAAAGCAGGGGAUCGCAAGACCUUGUGCUACUAGAGCGGCCGAUGGCAGAUUAGGUAGUUGGUGGGAUAAAAGCUUACCAAGCCGACGAUCUGUAGCUGGUCUGAGAGGACGAUCAGCCACACUGGGACUGAGACACGGCCCAGACUCCUACGGGAGGCAGCAGUGGGGAAUUUUGGACAAUGGGCGCAAGCCUGAUUCAGCAAUGCCGCGUGCAGGAUGAAGGCCUUCGGGUUGUAAACUGCUUUUGUACGGAACGAAAAGCCCUGGGUUAAUACCCUGGGGUCAUGACGGUACCGUAAGAAUAAGCACCGGCUAACUACGUGCCAGCCGCCGCGGUAACAC
rnacentral:rRNA from 1 species